rnacentral:misc_RNA from 1 species
GAUGAAGAACGUAGCGAAAUGCGAUAAGUAAUGUGAAUUGCAGAAUUCAGUGAAUCAUCGAAUCUUUGAACGCACAUUGCGCCCCUUGGUAUUCCGGGGGGCAUGCCUCUUCCAGCGUCAUUUCACCCCUCAAGCUCUGCUUGGUUUUGGGCCGCGCCGGCAACGGCGGGCCUCGAAAAUAGUGGCGACGCCAUCGUGCUCUCAGCGUAGUAAUUCUUCUCGCUGUUGGGUCCCGGUGGUCGUCCGCCAGCAACCCCCAACUUUCUUAAGUUUAACCUGGGAUGAGGUAGGGAUACCCGCUGAACUUAAGCAUAUCAAUAAGCGGAGGA